rnacentral:rRNA from 1 species
AACGUGUCCUGUAGUGGGGGAUAGCCCGGCAAGCCGGAUUAAUACCGCAUACGCUCUACGGAGGAAAGGGGGGGAUCUUAGGACCUCUCUACAGGGGCGGCCGAUGGCAGAUUAGCUAGUUGGUGGGGUAAAGGCCUACCAAGGCGGAUCUGUAGCUGGUCUGAGAGGACGACCAGCCACACUGGGACUGAGACACGGCCCAGACCUACGGGAGGCAGCAGUGGGGAAUUUUGGACAAUGGGCGCAAGCCUGAUCCAGCAAUCGCGUGUGUGAAGAAGGCCUUCGGGUUGUAAAGCACUUUUGUCCGGAAAGAAAACCUCGGUUAAUACCCCGGGGGGAUGACGGUACCGGAAGAAUAAGCACCGGCUAACUACGUGCGCAGCCGCGGUAAUACGUAGGGUGCAAGCGUUAAUCGGAAUUACUGGGCGUAAAGCGUGCAGGCGGUCUGCUAAGACAGAUGUGAAAUCCCCGGGCUUAACCUGGGAACUGCAUUUGACUGGCAGGCUAGAGUAUGGCAGAGGGGGGUAGAAUUCCACGUGUAGCAGUGAAAUGUAGAGAUGUGGAGGAAUACCGAUGGCGAAGGCAGCCCCCUGGGCCAAUACUGACGCUCGCACGAAAGCGUGGGGAGCAAACAGGAUUAGAUACCCUGGUAGUCCACGCCCUAAACGGUCAACUAGUUGUCGGGUCUUCAUUGACUUGGUAACGUAGCUAACGCGUGAAGUGACC